CCUUACUGAGACCUAGACAACCAGGUGAGGGGAGUUCCUUACUGAGACCUAGACAACCAGGUGAGGGGAGUUCCUUACUGAGACCUAGACAACCAGGUGAGGGGAGUUCCUUACUGAGACCUAGACAACCAGGUGAGGGGAGUUCCUUACUGAGAC